rnacentral:lncRNA from 1 species
AAUGUGGUAUGUCUAGUAAAUGCAUAGGACUUAAUAAACAAGGUGGAUUCUGUCUGUUGCUAUGUAAUCAUCAUGUGUAGACCAUGAAAGACUCGGACAACUACAGAAAACAUUGGACCACUGAAUGCCAACAUGGAAAUCAUGAUGAAACUUGAAGAACUGAUUGAAGAUUUAUUUUACUUUUUUUUUUCCAGUAUUUGUUCCGCAGUCAUGUAUGGUCACUUUAAAUUUGUCAAGGGUUAAUUUUAUCUGGUUUUAAUCAAGUUUUUUUUUGUCAGAUUUUUAAUAUUUACAACUGUUUUGUUUUAUUAAACCAAAAUGCUUGGUAUAUGUUGUAGGUUUUCAAAUCUUAAAAUAUUUCUCUGGGAAUUUCUUGAUAUAUACAAAUCAUGAAUGUUUAUGUUAUACUUUGAAUUUAUUUUAAUUUUUUCCAGGUUUUAUGGAUUCAGCUCUAAUAGAAAAUGCUUUAUUUUCUUAUAAUAAAAAUGUCAGAAAAAAAAGCAAAGGGAAACAAUACUCAUGUAAAGAUUGUGAUACCUUGUUCACUGACCGGAGCAACCUUGCUCGACAUCGUCGAGUGAAACAUGCAGCUGUUGUCCAGCUGCACUUUUGUAACCUGUGUUCAAAGAGUUUUCAACGGAAGGACUGCUUGAAAGUACACAAACGGACAGUACAUAAAUACAUGCUUAAUGACUGAGAUAAUUCAUUUAAAUUUCGCUUUUUGUUUGCUUUGUCUGAAAAGAUUGAUGAAAAGAGAUAUUCUUUACUGUUUAAACUUGUAAAGAACCUCUUUGCUGUUUGAUUUGAAUUUUUCACAAGAUAAAGAGUCUGCACUUCUUUCUUGAAAUAAAAGUUUUGUUAGCUGUGUGUGAUAUUGCAUUUCGGUAGUAGAGAAACAUACUAUUUGUUCAUUUUUCCUUUUAGCCGUAAACAUCAGAAACAGAAGCUGUAAUAAUAUGCCUGAUUAAGAUAAGAUUUGUUUUACGAUGCUGCUAUAUUUUAUUGAAAAGCUGUCUGUAAACUCAAUAAGGAAUAUUAAGUAUAAUACUGAUUUAAAAAAGUACUAUUCUACACAACCCCAAGAAACUUAAUAAAGAAUCCAUAGAUGGAAAAUGUUGUUUAAUUAAUGGACUUUUUCAAAGUUUCUAGUGGAUUAUACCAAAAAAAAAGCUCCCAAGAAGAAUAGUUAGUAAGAAGAAUGAAACUAUCUACCCACCACAUCAGUCAUUAGGUGUACCUGAAAUGGAGGUGUUAAGAAGUUUUAUGGAUUCAGCUGUAAUAGAAAAUGCUGUAUAUUUUAAUAUCAGAGAAAAUAAAAGCAGAGGGAAACACUACUCAUGUCGAGAAUGUGAUGCCUCAUAUACUGAUCCCAGCAGUCUUGCUCGACAUCGCCGAGUGAAACAUGCAGAGGUUGUACAGCUGCAUUUUUGUAACUUGUGUUCAAAGAGUUUUCAACGGAAGGACUGCUUGAAAGUACACAAACGGACAGUACAUAAAUACAUGCUUAAUGACUGAGAUAAUUCAUUUAAAUUUUGCUUUGUCUGAAGAGAGAUAUUCUUUACUGUUUAAACUUGGAAAGAACUUCUUCUCUGUUUUGGUUUGGAUUUUUUACAAGAUAAAGAGCUUGUGUUUCUUUCUUGACAUAAAAGUUUUGGGAGUACAGAAAAUAAGACUUCUUCUUCACUGCUGCUAUGUCUUAUUAAGAAGGUGUCAAUAAAUUUAAUAAAGAAUAUUAAGUAUAAUAAGAAAGCAAAAAUUGUAAUGUAUUAUUGUUCCAUGUUUACUAACUUACACGUAUCCUUUGCAUCGGUUGCUGAAGUUCUGAGAAAUGGAUGACAUCAAGCAAUGGACCAUGUUUCUCUGCACCCUGUAGGUCAGUUUUCAGAGCUGAGACUCUCUCAUUAUGAUCAACAUAAGUCCUUCUGAAUAACACUGAUAAGUGAUCUUAUGAGUUUGACAAAUGCAGUACUAUACUCUCUGCAUGCAAUCAAGAAAGUUACGAUAAACCAAAGUUUAUGGAUCUCUCAAAAGAUGACACACUGAAUGAGAAAAGUAAAAGGACUCGUUAAAUUACAAAUAAUGACCAAUUUCUUCUUUAUUUAAAAAACAAAUACAAAUUAACAAGAGGGGCAGUACGUAACAUUUUGAGGCUGACCAAUCUUCCCUUUAAAAUCAGCAUUCAGUAUAAAUAAAAACGUACACUAUUUUCCAGUGUUAACUCUUUAACUUUUAUCUGCAAAAUAAUUUCAACCCUGCUUAAAACCACUAAAUCCUUUUACAGUACAUUUGGGAUCCAACAGCUAUCCGUAAAUAUAGUAUCAAAACAAUAAAUUAAAAUAUUAUACUUUAAUACACUUAAAUGCAUAAGAAAUUUUGAACUUUGUGAACAAGAAACUGCUGCUAUAUGUACAAUCACAAACUGUUUUGUCAGUAUACGAAAAACCUGGAACUGAUGUGUGUUGUCUUUACAAGUCAUCAUACGUAAUCCUUUCAUCUUAGACUAGUCGAGCAAAAUGGAAUGUACAGAAGAUAUCUUGUCCCCAUCACAUGCAUCAAUAAAGAAACGACAGUAUAAUAGUUCAAGCACUGCAAGUGCACAUAGGAGAUUCAUGUUAAGUUACUGGAU